UACGUAGGGUGCAAGCGUUGUCCGGAGUUAUUGGGCGUAAAGAGCUCGUAGGCGGUUUGUCGCGUCUGCUGUGAAAUCCCGGGGCUCAACCCCGGGUCUGCAUUCGAUACGGGCAGACUAGAGUUCGGUAGGGGAGUCUGGAAUUCCUGGUGGAGCGGUGAAAUGCGUAGAGAUCGGAAAGAACACCAACGGCGAAAGCACUCUGCUGGGCCGACACUGACACUGAGAGACGAAAGCUAGGGGAGCGAAUGGG
rnacentral:rRNA from 1 species